UACGUAGGGGGCAAGCGUUGUCCGGAUUUAUUGGGCGUAAAGAGCGUGUAGGCGGCCAGGUAGGUCCGUUGUGAAAACUCGAGGCUCAACCUCGAGACGUCGAUGGAAACCCUCUGGCUAGAGUCCGGAAGAGGAGAGUGGAAUUCCUGGUGUAGCGGUGAAAUGCGCAGAUAUCAGGAAGAACACCCGUGGCGAAGGCGGCUCUCUGGGACGGUACUGACGCUGAGACGCGAAAGCGUGGGGAGCAAACAGG
rnacentral:rRNA from 1 species